rnacentral:lncRNA from 1 species
UUUAAUAAAACCUUUAGCCUAAUUGAAGUCAAAGCAACUUGAAGUCUAUGGCCUAAUCGACUGCGGUCGGGUAACAUUUAAUAAAACCUCUGGUCUAACUGAAGUCCACGUUACAUGAAGCCUCUAGCAUAAUCGGAUGUGGCCUGGUCAUGCAAAAUAAAAGUCUCUGACCUCCAUUUAACGUCAACCCCCAUGGGACUCUAAACGUCGGAUAGGUUAGUAAAAC